AUGCUGCAGGCCUGCACAACAGUGGCCCACACGAUAGUGGCAUCCUGGUCGGCGCGGGUGUUCAUCUCCAUCUCCGCAAUCACAAGCCCGACACUGAUCGCGGGCGAGCGUGCGCUCGCGCUGGGGCUCGAUGUGGACGUAGGAGAGGUGUGCGCCGUAGGUGAGGAGCCCCGCGCCGAAGGCAAAGAGUGCGACAGUGGAUAG
rnacentral:rRNA from 1 species